rnacentral:lncRNA from 1 species
GGAAAAUCAUUCUCAAUUUCUCUAAAUAAAGCUCGUUCAGAGCACUACAACAUACAAAUAAAGGUCCUAAUUCUCUAAACGCAUAUUGCCAUAUUUGCAUACAAUCACAAGAAUGACAAAAACCAAGCAAAUAUUAAGUAAUAGAACUUCAACUGCUCUAAUCUGAUGUUCUUUCUAAAGGGCCAAUACAAAAUUAAAUCGAUGAAUCUGAACAAUUAAAGUAACAAUCCAUUUACUCGCUUAAAUAAGCUUAACAACACUCACAAGAGUGCAAUCAGGACCAAAAUCAUCAGCAUCACACCCUUCGCCUUCCAAAAGUUUUCCUUGUGUCUAAACAAUAGUGAUGGAGAUUAUGCAAAGCUUCUCGAGGAGGUGCCAAUCUUCAAAACUGAACGAGAUAUAGCAGAAAUUUUGUUCGACAAAGUUGACAAGAAAAGAUAAUGAGAAAGAUGGUCAUUUUCUAAAAAUUGUGCCAUUCCUCUGAAUCUAAAUGCACCAAUAGGACAACUGUUGCUGCACAUCUUUGGAAUCUCACAAGUCUUGCUACAGUUAAUCCUAGAAUAUUAGUCUACGAAAUUACCUGUGAAUCUCUGCUAUAACUUUCUAGUUGAGGAAACAAUGCCAAAAACCUUGUGACUGUGAUUAACUAAAAUGUCUUGAAACCCUUGUCAAUUAAAAUUUUUGAAUGCACUACUCAAGAAAUUACAGCCAGUCUACAAAGGAAAGGAUUGUUAAUGACGAAAAGGAUGGGGCAAGCAUAUAUCAAGGUAAAAAAUGAGAAGGAUAUUGAUGUUAGAAGCUUUGGUCUCUAAAAACUCUUAGUUGAAUGAAUGUCAUUCUAAUUUGAAAAUCUCUCUCUCUCUCUCUCUCUCUAGGAGUGGAUGCUGGAUACAGGGUGCCCAUUCUAUUGAGAUCCAAAAUGCAUCCAAGUUCUUCCAAGGUAUUAAUAAAAUAUUUUGAAACGAAAUAAAUUGCAUGUAAAUCAAAUCUGAGAGUCCAGUUAUAAAUUCACAUCUUUGUUAUACCUUUUAUUUUCACAUUAGUUUGUAAUUUGAUUGUUCUGUACAAUGCAUGUGCAGGUUGGGGUAAAGAAUCUCAAGAAUUAAGUAAUUAGGGGUCGGGUUGUAAAGCGGUUAAACUUCUUCUCUUGGAGUUCAUCACAAUCAAUUUACAGUUUUACUUUCUUUUUGCAGCAUGAAUUCAAUUUAUGGAUGAAUUCAAUUUAUGGAUGCAGACCAAGCAGACCAGAGGAUGGACUUACAAACUGAAAGUAAACCAAUUGAGGAGAAACUUAAGCAAAAAUUUCACUCAAGCCUUAAGCAGAGUACAAGCAUACAGAUACCUGUGGUUUAAAUGGCACCUGCCAGGCAGACCUAUCUAUAGCAGAGUUCCAAGUCAGCUGCCAUAACAUAAAGAGCAGAAGCAGAACCUAACAAGAAUGAUUCUGCAAGUCCUGAUUACUCAUUAAACUUGGACUGAAUUUCAAAAUUAGCAAGGGAAUAUACACCAAACUGACUUUCAAUAUUGAAUGAACUGGUAUUACUUCCACUUGUUAGUGAAUAUCUUCAUUUUUAAUCUUAUUGAUUCUCGAACAGGUGGACCAUCCAUCUUAUGAGCAUUAUCGUUUUUACAAUAAUCAUCCUAUUAUGUCCAAUAAGCUUAUCUUGAGUUGGUAUAGAAAUAUGAAACACA